AAAUUGCCCUUAGCGAUGGGCCGUCCUUUGGAAUCACUAGGGAUUUUAAAGAUAACAAGUGCUGGGGGCCCACUCCUAUAUACUCUUGUUCGGUGGUUCUAGGGCGGGGGUGCCUUGCCUUUGUGGCAAUAGGAAAAGAUCCCCUCUGGGGAUGCCAUCGCUGGGUGCAUGGCUUGUCUAUCAGAAGACACACCGGGAUAGGCAGCCCCAUGCAGAGGGUGGGGCUAGGCGAGCAGAGCACCAGGUGGACUUUACCUCCUUGGUCAGACCUUGUGCAGGGCCCAAAACAGGAGCACUGGGUCUCGGCGCCUGAAAAUGCUCUCGCUCUGUCACUGUUAGGGCUGCUGUUGUGUUGACGGCUCUCACUCAGUGAGUGCUGGCUGUGGGCCCCAGCCUCUGAUCGUCGUGCACAUAUUGGGAAACCAGGACUCGUGAGUUAUUUUUUCCGUUAGAUAUGCUGCAAUGUACAGAAAGGGCUUCCUCCAUCCGCUGAGUCUGUGUGAUGCCCAGUAUUAAACAAGAUUCUAAGCAGAAUCUGUCUCCAUUACUCCGUGUGCCUCGUCGCUCUGUGGUGUGUGUCGUCUUCCAGAUGCCUCGUGACCGAUGCUCCUGAAAGUGCUGAGCCACCUGUGAAACAUUCUCUGGCGUCCUGUUCUUACUCAACAAUGAUCAAUCAUCCCAGUGUUGGUCUCAGUGGAAUACCAAGAAGAAAUCAAAUGUUUACAGAGAGCCAAUGUGAGCACUUGGUACUUCCAAGGUGAAAAAAAUCCAAAAAGUCAAAAAUAAAAAUGAAGACACUACAGGUUAAAAAUCAAUUGCAGUAACCAUUUAUUCAAACCCCCUGUGCCAGCUCUCCGGAAAGGAAAGCCCCUGCUCACGGGGAAACGCUUACUGACUCUAGCAUGGUCAUGCUGUGGGCCUCUUGCUCCAUUUUCUGCAUCCUUGAAUCCCCCUUUUCAGCAAUGUAUGAAUACGCCUGAUCAGAAGAAAGCCUACGUAAUGUGCCCCCUCUGUUGUGUGGCUCUUAACACACUGCUUUUCUACCUGGUUCACGAUGGUCUUUCUUUCCACCACUGGGAUAUCUGGGAGCACAGGAAAUAAAAGGAGCUUAUUACCUUUUAUGCUGCCGCAGAGGACUCUAAAAUCCACUCUCAAAUGUAAAGGGCCUUUUCAGUACUGCGUAUUUGGGAGAAACUCAGGACACAACUCAUCUAAUUGUGGGUCCUCCACUUCAUCCUGACACGUCUGAGACUGGACACGUCUGAGACUGGACAUAUCUAAGGUUGGACAAUCUGAGACUGGACAUGUCUAAGGUUGGACACAUCUGAGACUGGACAUGUCUAAGGUUGGACACGUCUGAGACUAGACAUAUCUGAGGUUGGACACGUCUGAGAUUGUACAGGUGUGUU
rnacentral:lncRNA from 1 species